GACGAACGCUGGCGGCGUGCUUAACACAUGCAAGUCGAACGGAAAGGCCCUGCUUUUGUGGGGUGCUCGAGUGGCGAACGGGUGAGUAACACGUGAGUAACCUGCCCUUGACUUUGGGAUAACUUCAGGAAACUGGGGCUAAUACCGGAUAGGAGCUCCUGCUGCAUGGUGGGGGUUGGAAAGUUUCGGCGGUUGGGGAUGGACUCGCGGCUUAUCAGCUUGUUGGUGGGGUAGUGGCUUACCAAGGCUUUGACGGGUAGCCGGCCUGAGAGGGUGACCGGCCAAAUUGGGACUGGGAUACGGCCCAGACUCCUACGGGAGGCAGCAGUGGGGAAUAUUGCACAAUGGGCGGAAGCCUGAGGCAGCAACGCCGCGUGCGGGAUGACGGCCUUCGGGUUGUAAACCGCUUUCGCCGGUGACGAAGCGUGAGUGACGGUAAUGGGUAAAGAAGCACCGGCUAACUACGUG
rnacentral:rRNA from 1 species